GGUAGCUCAGUGGUAGAGCACAUGCCUAGCAUGCACCAGACUCUGGGUUUGAUCCCCAGGACCA
rnacentral:tRNA from 1 species